rnacentral:rRNA from 1 species
ACAAGUAACGUGAGGGAAAGAUGCAAAGAACUUUGAAAAGAGAGUUAAAGAGUACCUGAAAUUGCUGAAAGGGAAGCGAAGGAAACCAGUGCUUGGCUUGGUCAUAUUUCUCGAAUCGCUUGCGGUUUGGGCGCUGUGUCGUUGCCUUUGUCAUUUUUGCUUGUUCUCGGCGGAAACGUGUGUUCGGGAGGUAGCGCUUGCGUGAUACCGUUCACAUUAUUGCUGGGUUUGAGUGAGGCUGACGAAAUGGUUUUCUUUACCCCGUCUAGUAACACGGACCAAGGAGUCUAACAUCUGUGCGAGUGUUUGGGUGUAAAACCCAUGCGCGUAAUGAAAGUGAACGGAGGUGGGAACCUUUACCGGUGCACCAUCGACCG